UAGAAAUCAAUAAGAGUCUAACCCGAUUCGAAAUGGAUGUGGUGAUGCUCAAGUCCCGACUGAUACUCACUGGCUCCAUCAACUGAAGAAUACCGCUCAUCCAAAUAAUCCUAAACCUCUUUAGCAGUCUCAAAUGGAGUAAAUAGUGAAUGGAUGGAUGGAACUGAAGUGUUGGAGAACCGGGUGAUAAUCUUGGAGUUGUCACUGUCCCAGUCUUCAAGCUUGGAUCGGUACUUGGCAUGAAAGUCAUCAUUAUCUUCAGCGAAAUCGGAAAAGUGGGGUGAUUGUGCAUUUCUUGUGAUAUAUUUUUAGAAUUUCUGGGUUCGAAAGAACCGUUGCAUGGCAAAGGACCAAAGGCGAUAGUUGGAUUCAUCGAGGAUGAUGGAAAUAGGCUGGAAGACUUUCGAUUGGUGCGUGGGCGCGUUGGUUGCACGUGAACUCAUCCUUCUUCUCCUCUGGUGGCGCGUGUCGGCACAUGGAUCUGACAUGCCGAUGAACUAAUAAAGCGUGUGGGCUCGUGUGGGCCCGUGAGGGCUUUGUUGCGAAUUGUUUUUAAUGAUUUGGAAUUGUCUCUUCAAUACGAAAUCAAAGGACGAUUCGGAGAAGAUUUUGACAUGACUUGAGGCCCGACAGUGGCUGGUUUGGUGGUUUUGGACUGGUUUUUGAGCUUUUGAUGGGUUGCAGAGUGUUUAGGCUAUAUCUAAGUAUGAUAGUUGGCGGAUUGUUCUUCGCCAAUGGGUGCCGGAGUAGUGCCAAAGGGUAGCGGAAGAGUUAGGCCAUAGAGCAUGGCUUUGAUACCAUGUUAGAAGAAGUUAAAGAGAGAGAAAUAAUGAGAGAGAGGGGGAAUUUAUGUAUAUUGUAUUCUGUGAGUAAAAUAGUACAGACGAGUCCUCUUUACAUAGAGAAUGAUCAAAAAGUAAUGGUUUACAUUAGGGAUGGCAAUUUCCCCCGUCCCUCUUCCCGCCCCGAUCUAGGUGAAUAUUUUGGGGAUUGGGGAUAAAAAAAAAUUCGGAGACGGGGCGGGGACGAUUUUGUAUAUCUCCCCGCCCCGAUCCCCAAUUCCCGCCCCGAAUUAAGUGCAUAUGUCCAAAAUGUUUGGGCGAAUUGUAUUUGUUAUAAACCUUAGGAAGGUUAAUGUAAUUUACCAAAAAUAAAAUACGUAAUGGUAUUUAUGCAAAUUACAAUGACAAUAGAGGCCAAUCUGGUACUCAAGCACAAUAUAUAUACUCUCCAACCCAUAGAAACCCUAGACCCCAUCCAUUGCGCCGAGUGAAGAGAGAGAGAGAGGUGGAAUCCAGUUCGUGUCUCAGUCCGUACCAGCUUGGAAGUUCCACGAAUCAGCGCCGAUGACCAUUCCAAUGGCGCCGAGGAAGGUCCGGAACGGCGAGCUCAUCGCCUUGGACCACGGUGACGAGGAUGACGACGAGAUGUUGCCGCCGCACGAGAUCGUCGUGAGAGGGUCGGCGAUAUUGCCGAAGACGACCUUCUCGGUGCUCAAAGGCGUCAGGUGGUUGGUAUUCUGCGACGCCACUGUAUGUCUUCGUCUUCAUCUUCAUCAUUGACAUGUCUCUAUUUCUCCAUAUGUUCCCAAACUUAUUUACAAGUAUCUCAGGCGCAUGUGAUUAAUGGGUACCACUGGGGUACCCAUUAAUAGUUACUAAUUGGGCAGAACUUUCUUUUUUAUCAGUGAGCAUGGAUUGAAUUUCUUCCAAUUCUGGUUUAUACCCUCAUUUAAUUUAUUCUCCUUCCUCAUCAAUCCCCUUAUUACAACUGAAGAUCCUAAAAUUCUCGUAAUAUUUAUCGGAUAAUGAGCCAUUAAACGAUACCCCACGCUUGCAGACCUACGUAACCUCAUCCAUGAUCAUCCAAGCACAUAGGGACACAAACAUUCGUUUCACUACACAAUGCAAGCCUAUUGUCUUUAUUUUUGCUUUAUUUCGGUUUCUAUAUCUAGAUCUCGCAUUAAUUAUGAAUUAAUGUCAUCGCUCUCAUAUCUUUUAGUUUUUGAUUACUUUGUGCGGAGCAAACCCUAAUUCACUAGAAAAAAAAUUCGGAGUUCGGAUUCGGUACGGGGAUCCUUGGUCUCCGUGAGGGGCAAGGAUAGGGGAUAUAACAAAAUUCCCGUUGGGGAUCGGGGCGAGGAUCGGGGAUUAAAAAAAUUUCGGGGAUCGGGGACGGGGAUACCAACCUUCGGCCCUGCCCCGCCUCAUUGCCAUCCCUAGUUUAAAUAAGGUAAUGGCAAUAAUAUAAAUGAGGCAAUCGUAUCAAUCAGUAUAUAUUAUGAUAUAUAAUAUAUUCUGAGUAUCAAUUAAGAAAAUAUUCAGAAUAUAUUAUAUAUCAUAAUAUAUUUUGUAUAUAUACAAAAUAUAUGUUAACGGACGGAAACACUAUCAUCGGCGAGCCCUGUCGUCGGAAUCCCAUUGCGGUGGCCGACGUUUAUGAAAAAUAUUCGCCGGUGACCCACUUUGAAGAAAUGCAACCGAUGUUACCUUUUUGUAUU
rnacentral:lncRNA from 1 species